UGGGGAAUAUUGGACAAUGGACCAAAAGUCUGAUCCAGCAAUUCUGUGUGCACGAUGAAGUUUUUCGGAAUGUAAAGUGCUUUCAGUUGGGAAGAAGAAAGUGACGGUACCAACAGAAGAAGUGACGGCUAAAUACGUGCCAGCAGCCGCGGUAAUACGUAUGUCACAAGCGUUAUCCGGAUUUAUUGGGCGUAAAGCGCGUCUAGGCGGUUAAUUAAGUCUGAUGUGAAAAUGCGGAGCUCAACUCCGUAUUGCGUUGGAAACUGGUUAACUAGAGUACUGGAGAGGUAAGCGGAACUACAAGUGUAGAGGUGAAAUUCGUAGAUAUUUGUAGGAAUGCCGAUGGGGAAGCCAGCUUACUGGACAGAUACUGACGCUAAAGCGCAAAAGCGUGGGUAGCAAACAGGAUUAGAUACCCUGGUAGUCCACGCUGUAAACGAUGAUUACUAGGUGUUGGGGGUCGAACCUCAGCGCCCAAGCUAACGCGAUAAGUAAUCCGCCUGGGGAGUACGUACGCAAGUAUG
rnacentral:rRNA from 1 species